rnacentral:rRNA from 1 species
UGGGGAAUAUUGGACAAUGGACGAAAGCCUGAUCCAGCCAUGCCGCGUGUGUGAAGAAGGUCUUCGGAUUGUAAAGCACUUUAAGUUGGGAGGAAGGGCAGUAAGCGAAUACCUUGCUGUUUUGACGUUACCGACAGAAUAAGCACCGGCUAACUCUGUGCCAGCAGCCGCGGUAAUACAGAGGGUGCGAGCGUUAAUCGGAUUUACUGGGCGUAAAGCGUGCGUAGGCGGCUAAUUGAGUCGGAUGUGAAAUCCCCGAGCUUAACUUGGGAAUUGCAUUCGAUACUGGUUAGCUAGAGUGUGGGAGAGGAUGGUAGAAUUCCAGGUGUAGCGGUGAAAUGCGUAGAGAUCUGGAGGAAUACCGAUGGCGAAGGCAGCCAUCUGGCCUAACACUGACGCUGAGGUACGAAAGCAUGGGGAGCAAACAGG